rnacentral:ncRNA from 1 species
CUUCGGGGCAGGGUGAAAUUCCCGACCGGCGGUGAUAGUCCGCGAACCUUUUUGGUUGACUUGGUGCAAUUCCAAGACCGACAGUACAGUCUGGAUGAUAGAAGU